rnacentral:lncRNA from 1 species
ACUACUCUUUCAUUGAACAGCACUUUUUAUGGGUAUUUUUGUCAAGUCAUGUAAAAAAAGAAGAUGGAAUUCAAAUGUUCCAGGAUUCGGGUUUCUGCCAGGCAUACCAACCAAGCCGAUCCUAUACAAAAAUUAAAAUGAGAUCAUAAUCCACUUUCAAUCAGAAAAAUCAACAUGCGAUCACGCACCUCAAACCAAAUUUUGUUGGUUGAUUAUGUUUUUUUAAGUUUUAAUGUUGGAACAUUCUGUUUGUUCUGAUCUGUAUGAUCCUGAGAUCAUAAUGCAACUAUACAAAGUGGUCUCGUCGGUUGCCGAAUCGUCGGCGUUCGGUUCUAAAAUCUACUGAAAAACAAUAAUAACGACUACUUUCAAGUAGUAUCUUAUUGAAAAAUAAAAUUAAAAUAAAAAAC